rnacentral:rRNA from 1 species
GACGAACGCUGGCGGCGUGCCUAAUACAUGCAAGUAGAACGCUGAAGAGAGGAGCUUGCUCUUCUUGGAAGAGUUGCGAACGGGUGAGUAACGCGUAGGUAACCUGCCUUGUAGCGGGGGAUAACUAUUGGAAACGAUAGCUAAUACCGCAUAACAAUGGGUGACCCAUGUCAUUCAUUUGAAAGGGGCAACUGCUCCACUACAAGAUGGACCUGCGUUGUAUUAGCUAGUAGGUGAGGUAACGGCUCACCUAGGCGACGAUACAUAGCCGACCUGAGAGGGUGAUCGGCCACACUGGGACUGAGACACGGCCCAGACUCCUACGGGAGGCAGCAGUAGGGAAUCUUCGGCAAUGGGGGCAACCCUGACCGAGCAACGCCGCGUGAGUGAAGAAGGUUUUCGGAUCGUAAAGCUCUGUUGUAAGUCAAGAACGAGUGUGAGAGUGGAAAGUUCACACUGG